ACCUGCGGAAGGAUCAUUACCGAGUGCGGGUCCUUUGGGCCCAACCUCCCAUCCGUGUCUAUUGUACCCUGUUGCUUCGGCGGGCCCGCCGCUUGUCGGCCGCCGGGGGGGCGCCUCUGCCCCCCGGGCCCGUGCCCGCCGGAGACCCCAACACGAACACUGUCUGAAAGCGUGCAGUCUGAGUUGAUUGAAUGCAAUCAGUUAAAACUUUCAACAAUGGAUCUCUUGGUUCCGGCAUCGAUGAAGAACGCAGCGAAAUGCGAUAACUAAUGUGAAUUGCAGAAUUCAGUGAAUCAUCGAGUCUUUGAACGCACAUUGCGCCCCCUGGUAUUCCGGGGGGCAUGCCUGUCCGAGCGUCAUUGCUGCCCUCAAGCCCGGCUUGUGUGUUGGGUCGCCGUCCCCCUCUCCGGGGGGACGGGCCCGAAAGGCAGCGGCGGCACCGCGUCCGAUCCUCGAGCGUAUGGGGCUUUGUCACAUGCUCUGUAGGAUUGGCCGGCGCCUGCCGACGUUUUCCAACCAUUCUUUCCAGGUUGACCUCGGAUCAGGUAGGGAUACCCGCUGAACUUAAGCAUAUCAAUAAGCGGAGGAAUCCCGAGUGCGGGUCCUUUGGGCCCAACCUCCCAUCCAU
rnacentral:rRNA from 1 species